rnacentral:rRNA from 1 species
UCAGGAUGAACGCUAGCGGCAGGCUUAACACAUGCAAGUCGAGGGGCAGCGCGAGUAGCAAUACUUGGCGGCGACCGGCGCAAGGGUGCGUAACGCGUGAGCAACAUGCCCGUAUCAGGGGGAUAAUCCAGGGAAACUUGGUCUAAUACCCCAUAGUAAUUUUGUAAGGCAUCUUAUAAGAUUUAAAGCUUUGGUGGAUACGGAUUGGCUCGCGUGACAUUAGCUGGAUGGUAAGGUAACGGCUUACCAUGGCUAUGAUGUCUAGGGGUUCUGAGAGGAAGGUCCCCCACACUGGAACUGAGACACGGUCCAGACUCCUACGGGAGGCAGCAGUGAGGAAUAUUGGACAAUGGAUGGAAAUCUGAUCCAGCCAUGCCGCGUGAAAAGGAAGAAGGUCCUAUGGAUUGUAAACUUCUUUUGUAUGGGAGCAAUAAGGCCUACGAGUAGGUUGAUGAGAGUACCAUACGAAUAAGCACCGGCUAACUCCGUGCCAGCAGCCGC